rnacentral:rRNA from 1 species
GAUGAACGCUGGCGGCGUGCCUAAUACAUGCAAGUCGAGCGAACAGAUGAGGAGCUUGCUCCUCUGACGUUAGCGGCGGACGGGUGAGUAACACGUGGAUAACCUACCUAUAAGACUGGGAUAACUUCGGGAAACCGGAGCUAAUACCGGAUAAUAUAUUGAACCGCAUGGUUCAAUAGUGAAAGACGGUUUUGCUGUCACUUAUAGAUGGAUCCGCGCCGCAUUAGCUAGUUGGUAAGGUAACGGCUUACCAAGGCAACGAUGCGUAGCCGACCUGAGAGGGUGAUCGGCCACACUGGAACUGAGACACGGUCCAGACUCCUACGGGAGGCAGCAGUAGGGAAUCUUCCGCAAUGGGCGAAAGCUUGACGGAGCAACGCCGCGUGAGUGAUGAAGGUCUUCGGAUCGUAAAACUCUGUUUAUUAGGGAAGAACAAAUGUGUAAGUAACUAUGCACGUCUUGACGGUACCUAAUCAGAAAGCCACGGCUAACUACGUG